AUGAGAGCCGCUUGCUUCUCCUUGUUCUUCACCGCCGCCUCCCUCCCCCUCCCUUCGACCUCCACCGCUGCCUCGAGCCCACGCUGUCAGAGUCACGCCUCCUACCGCUGGUCCCAGCCACGCCACCGCCGCGGCGGGGUGGUCCGGGCCCUCGACGAGCGGCUGCUAGAGGCACUAACCCCCGCACCAGCGGAGACCGAGGUCGAGGAUGAGAGUGGUGUCGGUGAGAUAGAAGACGGCGGUGAACGAGAGGGAAGAGAUGGGGUGGCUAAUAUUGUGGGCCCGUCGGAGGCCCAUGAGCAGCCGAAGAGCAGGCGACGACAGCAGCAGGAGGAAGAGGAUGCCGCGGCGGAGCGCACCCGGUUCAAGCUCAUCAACGGCAAAGAGAUAUUUCAAGAGAAGACCUACCUAGUUGGAGUCGAGUGCAAGAAGGCCGCAAGUGAUAACUUCAGCAUAGAGGAAUCGCUCAAGGAGCUCGAGCAGUUAGCUGAUACUGCUGGGCUCAUGGUUCUCGGAUCGACCUAUCAAAAGCUUUCAAGUCCAAAUCCAAGGACUUAUAUUGGUUCAGGGAAGGUUGCUGAAAUUAGGAGUGCAGUUCAGGCCCUUGAUAUUGAGACUAUAAUUUUCGAUGAUGAGUUGUCUGCUGGACAGCUGCGUAACUUGGAGAAGUCCUUUGGUGGAGGUGUUCGAGUCUGUGACCGGACUGCUCUUAUUCUGGACAUUUUUAAUCAAAGGGCAGCGACGCAUGAAGCUGCUCUGCAGGUCACCUUGGCACAAAUGGAAUAUCAACUUCCUAGGUUGACAAAGCUGUGGACUCACCUUGAGCGGCAGUCAGGAGGCCAAGUCAAGGGUAUGGGUGAGAAACAAAUUGAAGUUGACAAGCGCAUCUUGAGAACACAAAUAAGCACUUUGAGGAAGGAAUUGGAGUCUGUCCGAAAACAUAGAAAGCUUUAUCGCAACCGUCGACGGUCGGUGCCUAUUCCUGUUGUUUCUCUGGUGGGAUAUACAAAUGCUGGAAAAAGUACACUCUUGAACCGCUUAACUGGAGCUGAUGUGCUCGCUGAGGAUAAAUUAUUUGCCACACUAGACCCAACAACACGGAGGGUGUUGAUGAAGAGCGGCACUGAGUUCCUCCUAACAGAUACUGUCGGGUUCAUUCAGAAGCUACCCACUAUGCUGGUGGCAGCAUUUAGAGCAACACUGGAGGAGAUAUCAGAAUCAUCAAUUAUUGUUCAUCUUGUAGAUAUCAGCCAUGCAUUAGCUCAACAACAGAUAGGUGCUGUUGACAAAGUACUGAAAGAGCUGGAUAUAGACUCGGUUCCGAAGUUGGUUGUGUGGAAUAAGAUUGACAAUGCCAAUAACCCAUUGAGAGUGAAGGAGGAAGCCGAGAAACAAGGGAUAAUCUGCAUAUCCGCCAUGAAUGGUGAUGGUUUGGAAGAGUUCUGCAAUGCAAUCCAAGCAAAGUUGAAAGACUCAAUGGUGCCCAUAGAAGCUUUUGUUCCGUAUGACAAAGGAGAUCUGCUAAAUGACAUACAUAAGGUUGGAAUGGUUGAGAAAACGGAGUACAUGGAAAAUGGCACGUUGAUAAAAGCACAUGUGCCUCUACCUCUUGCAAGGCUUCUCACGCCGUUGCGGCAGCAGGUGGCUGCUCCUCUAUGA
rnacentral:rRNA from 1 species